ACUCCUCGUCUCACCCAUGAGAGCGAGCUGCCUUCUGUCUGGUUGGGCGAUUCCUGCAGGGCCUGAGCCUCCGCAGAGCCCGGCGUUCAAGGAGAAAAAAGGAGCCGCGGAUGGCCCAUGUUCUAGAACUACAUCCUCGGUCACUGUCCCAGUACAGCCAUCUGUAGCACCUCCUCAGUAACUGACGGUGAUGUUCCUUUCCCUACGCUGUUUAUACCAUCAGCCUGGGGUUUUCUUUGGAGGUGACACAAAGGUAAGUUUCAGUUUAUUUAUAGUCAGAUUAAGAUGAAUUCAGAAGCUUCAGAAUAAUAGGAAGCAAAAAAUUGUGCCUUGUAAUUUCUCUCUGCUUUACCUACCUCCCCCAAGCUCUAAAACCUAAGAGUUUUGUGCUAAAGUCUAGAUUUAACCAAGAGAUUCAGGUUAUUUAAUUUAAAAAAAAAACCCUAAAAUGUUGCUCAUACAUGAUUCUUAGAGGAGUACAAUUAGGUAAUAUAAUUGCAGAAAAUUGUUUUUAAAGGCAAAAGGCAGAACAACUUUGUGGUAGGAAUGCUUUUAGCUGUGGUUUCUAGAGCAUGAAAAAGUACCUGGAGUCCUAAACUGUUGUAUCAUUAUCCUUAACUAAUCCAAGUCAAGCCUCCCCCAAAACCCCACCCACAGUGAAAUUCCAGCCUUAAACCAAACCUCAACAUCUCAAUAAAAUCCAGCCACUCUCCUCCUCCAAGAUGCUCCAAAAUGCUUCCAAACCUCUUUUGAUGCCAUGUGCUCCCUUGCCAUAGUAAGCAAAUCAAUAAUAAAUAAAUAAAAUGGAAAAAACACCUGGUGAUAAUAAAGUUCUUUGUAGUCUCAAGUAAAUCUCUGUUGUAGGGAAGGCAAAAAUUUACCUCUGCACUCCUACAGUUUUUCAGUUGGGCCUGAGAAUUAAAUUGACUUAAGAAAUAUCAACAGGAGACAAGCACACAAAUUUAUUUAAUAUAAGUUUUAUGUGACAGGGGAGCCCUCAUAAGGAAAUGAAGCCCCAGAGAUGCAGUGAGAAUUGAACACUUAUAUAGUGGAUUGGAGAAAGUAGGAAAUUAUAAAAAUGUAGCAAGGCAAAAAGAGGCCUGGGCUAGGGUAGUUAACUGGGAGAAGCAGCUAGGAAGAUAAGGGUUGUGUAACAAAGUUUGUACAAAUUUUUCUCAGCCACAGCUUUCUGUCCUUGAUAAGACUGUUAAGUAGACUGUCCGUCAACUUUCUCAUUUCACUUAAGGAUUUCAUCUCCUGCAUCUAAGAAACGGCACGAAGGGCAGAAUGGUCUUGUACCUGCUAUUUUGCAAGUGCCGUUAACUCAAAAGUCAAUAUCAGAGUGGCGUAUUUUGGAGUGGCCUAUUUUUAACUCCUUCCCCAGGAAUCCUCUGUGCUUCUAGCUCUUUUAUUGCUUUUCAUUUCCCUCCCCUGUGCAACCCCGUCUUCUCUUGUUGGUUUUCUGGGUUUUCUGGUUUCUAAUCUAGUUAAGGAGAAAACUGGCAAGGAUGACCCUUUGGAGAAUUGCUUCUUGGCUGUGCCCGGGCUUGUCCAGUCAGCCUGUCUGCUCUUGGGUAGGUUAGACCUGUUUCCAAAGAGUCUGCAAGCCCUGACAUUUCUCAUGGUCAUCUACAAGAUCUGGACAGUCCACGAGAGAGCAGCUCCUUCAGAUUGAAGCAGAGGGGGGACAGUUCGGCCCAGGACCAGAAGGAACAACACCUAGCGGAGUUCCUGUGGUUGCCAAGGCUCCUUUUUUUCUUCCUUCUCCUGCUCUCUGUGUCACUGCAGCAUAUUUGCAAUAUUUGUGCUGUGUCCUUUCUCUACACCCCCACAUUCUACCUCAGUGGAACAAGGAGGAGCUCACUCUGCCCAGCCAUCACCUUCUACCAGGUUCCUUCUUCCUUUAGCCUUUCCAGCAACCCUCCUGCCCUCUUCUGAGGUUGGCAAAUUCAGAGAGACAUAAUGGCAGAUGUGUCAGGAGAAAGAAAUGGAAUGAUACACAAGGUAGACACUAAUUAGGUUGCAGAGUUACAAUGUGAAAAAAACAUUAAUGGAAUGAUUGUAGAGCUGAAAGAUGGGAUGCAGAACUGGAGAAGAGAUCCUCAGAAAGGAAGAACAUCAUUUCAACUGAUGUUGAACAUUGAAUUGAACAUCAUUCAUUGAAUUGAACAUCCAUUCAACAUCAUGGCAAGAAAAUCCCUGAAUGUAAAAAAAAAACAUUUCCAAAUGCUAGCUAGUGACCUGUCUUUUCUGGAAAAUUUCUAUAGAAAAGAAAUUCAAAUGUGACAAAAUAACUGGGAUUUCUUGAAUUGUGUUAUCAGUCACUUAGGACCUCACUGUUUAUUUCUCUCUGCAUUCCUCCAGGCAGUAGAGUUUCUAGUUGUAUCUCUCCAGAAUCUAACACAGUGCCUCCCUAGCACAUGGUAGGCACACAGUAAAUGUUUGUGGGAUGGAUGGGCAACCAGGAUAGAAACUGGAUAUCUAAGAAUAUAAGGUUUAUAUAGGGGAUAUUCUUGAACGAGUGAAGGCAGGAAUUCAAACAGGUGUUUGUACACCCUUGUUCAUAGCAGAAUUAUUCGCAAUAGCUGAAAGGGUGGAAGCAAAGCAAAUAUCUACUGACAGAUGAAUGGAUGACCAAAAUGUAAUGUAUACAUACAAUGGAAUAUUAUUUAGUCUUAAAAAGGGAAGAAAUUUUGACACACACUACAACAUGGAUGAACCUCGAAGACAUGUUAAGUAAAAUAGGCCAGUCAAAUAUUGGACAAAUAUUGUAUGAUUCCUAUGAUAUAGAGGCCUAGAGUAAACAAAUUUGUAGAAACAGAAAGUAGAAUGGUGGUUGGCAGGGCCCAGAAGCAGGAUAUUGUGGGGUUAGUGUUUAAUUUGUAUAGAGUUUCAGUUGGAAAAUGACCGUGUUCUGUGGAUGGAUUGUGGUGAUGGUUGCACUACAAUAUGAAUGUAAUUAAUGCCACUGAACUGUACACUUAAAAUUGAUUAAAGUGGUAAAUGUUAUGUAUAUUUCACCACCAUAAUAGAAAAAAAGAAUAUGUUCAUCAACUAAUUCAUAAAUAAGAAACAAGAAAAGUUAUUUUUAUAACAAAGAAGUGAACCAGGUAAUACUUGGAAAGUAUAGGUUAUAGCAAGAAGACAGCAAUGACACUAGACCUAAAAAAUAUUCAAAACUGUGCUACUAAAACUGUGUUGCCUGAAUCCUAAUAUGGGGCAGAGACUUAGAGCUCUUUCAUUCUGCCCUCUCCCCAUUAUCCCUAUGAUUCUUUUUUUAAAAAAUCAAUUUUUUAUUUUGAAAAAAUGUCAAACCUGAAGAAAAAUUGUAAAAAUAGUACAAGUGGGCCCUUGUCUGAUUCUUCCUUCACCAUGAGAAGCGUGGAGGCCUUUGAUGUGGUUUCUGUACCAGUCUACCCCGCAGAAAUCCGUGGCUGUUGCCUUUGGAGAUGGUGUCUGGGUGCGGGAGUGCAUGCAGCACGCUGAAGCUGAAGCCCAGUCCUUGUUUACAGAAUGGCCACUGGUCAAUGACACUGGGCUGCUUCAAAUGCUUUUGAUCCCUUACCAUCAUCCAGCCCUGUGCCAGGCUGGUUUUCCUGCCAAAAUGUGCCCAGUGCAUUAGCUCAUUUAGUCAUCGCAGUAACCGUUUGAGUCAGUGCCCUUGUUCCUCUUUCACAGAUGAGGAGGCAGAAGGCUACUAGAUUAAUGACAUUAUUAGCAGCAGACUCAGGACUUCAGUUCAGAACCAUUGGCUUUAAAUUCUAAACCUGUAUGAUGUACACAGAAGUAAAGCAGGAAGGUAACAUGGAGGGGGUCCAGUGUGGGGCAGAAAG
rnacentral:lncRNA from 1 species